CAGGGAGAGAAAACUCUCAAAAAUGUAAGAUGAAGAGCUACUUAGUAUUCUUGAGAAAUGAACGGAAGGUAAAUGAGGUUGGAGGUUAGUGAAUGAAAGGGAGAGUGGCAAGAUCUCACUGUGAAAUAAAUCUAUUAGUUAUUCCAGGUGUUAACUGGAAUAUCAUGUGGGACUGGGAAAAGCAUGUGUGAUGUCAUAAUAAAGGAUGGGUAUUUUAUUCUAAAUGCUAAGGUAAGACAUUACAGUUUUUGUUUUAGGUAUGAGCCUUGCAAGAAGACAUACAUAUUUUGCUGAUUGCCAAGGGGAUAAUGCAUUGGGUAUAAGAAGAAGGAAAGUAGAGGAACCAAUUAAGAAAUAUUUACUACAAUUAAGAAGAGAUGAUAAUAACUUCGACCAAGGUGGAGGCUAUGAAGAUGGAGCAAUGCGAAUACAUGGAGACAUGUUUUUGAUGUAGACUCAGCAAGAAAUUCUAAUAUAUUAGAUUUUAUGUUUUGGGAGAAAAAGAGACAUCUCCAAGAUUAUGGCUUGAAUAGAUUGGGACUAAUAGUGAAACUUGAGAGUGAUCACAUAUGGAGAUGAAAGAUUGAAAGACCUCUCGCUGAACAUAAUAUAGAAGGUCUAAAAUACUCUCAAGUCCCCUCCAUCUCAAAAUGACAGCAGUAACAGUGAAAACUAAACAUAGCUGUACCAAGAGGGCCUGUGUAUCUUACUUCGCCCUCCUUGUGAGUUGCCACUUCCUGUUCAUCCUCCUAUCAACGUGAUAUAAACACCAAAAUAGACCAAAGUAAUUAUCUGGGGAAUGUCCAGAGGGUGUUUACCUUCAGAAAAUUAACAGCUUUGAGACUAAAUCGAUGACCCAGCAAGAAGGUUCUCAUCAGUGGCUGACCAGAUGCCAGAAACAUGCCAUUGGAGUGCCCAGCCUUCAGAACAGUGAGCCAAACCAAUUUCUGUUCAUUAUAAAUUACCCAGUCUCAGCUAUGCAGUUAUAGCAGCACAAAGCAGGCAAGACACCAGUUAUCUUUUAAUAUUUUAAGGUGACACUAAUCAAUUUUUUUCAAAUAUAUAAUAUUGUUUCUUUUUUUUUUCUGGGGAAAUGAAUAGUUUAAGAAGUUUCCAAUGGGCCUUCCCCACUAUAAUACCUCUUACCACACAAACCAACAAAUCAAUGUUGGGAUUCUGCCAACUACCAAGUCUCUUUAUUCAGGUUAUAUUUAGAAAUCAGGAACAUGCCCACUGGACAGUUCAUAGAUCCAUUAGAUCCAUAGUGAACCAGACAUGUUCCAGAACUUCAUUAAUAAUGUCACUCUAACAAGAGGAAAAUGGUGGUGCUUUGGGUCCACAGAUAUCAAUGCCAAUUCAGAUCCAUAUCCAAUAAUCCCCAAAAGGUGUGGCUACGUCCUUUCCUUCAAAUGUCCUUAUUUACUACGUAAUUGUCAGUUAUUUUCAGAAAGAAUAGGAGGAAUUACUUUUUAAUAUACUUGUGGUGUUGCCUCAUCCUUUCUCACGCCGCUGAUUCUGGAUCUGAGAACUGUACUCAGGUCUUAGGACUGGGAAAGGGAAAACAAUAUUUUAUUAGUAUAGUUGCAUUCAGUCUCCUAAUUAUCCAUUCUUUAUUUAUUUUAAUUAUGUAAAUUUAGAAACAUAUUUGAUGGUUUCCUAAGUUGUCUUUGAAAAUAUUGUGUUAUAUUAAUCAUAUGUAUAAUCAUAUCACUAGUCAUAUAUCAUGCAUAUAUAUAAUCAUAUAUAUAACAUCUCUGAGGUGCAUGCCUCCUCUGCCUGCCACUUCAGCUUUGGUUCCCAGGGUGGUAAAUGUGUCCUUCUUGCUUUGACAGUUAAGAGCCACUAUCUGGCUUCUUUUUAUUUCAGGAUACUCUCAUACCUGUUUCUUUCAGGGAGGCCAGUCCUGUCACAGUAUUCCCUGGCCUACAGAGGAGAACCAUACUGAGUUCAGAAAUGACGGUGCCUUUUUCACCAGUGUAAUGCGUGUUGCUUUAGUGAAUUAGCUGUGCUUCUAAUCUUUCUUGCAAUAUAGUUUACUGAUGGUUAUUCUGAUCUUACAUAGUAUGCCACUGUAGCAUGCACAUUUAAUGCCUUCGUCUUCUAUCUGUCACACAAUUCUGGCACUUCUGCUACAUUUAUAUGGGCCAUUACUUUUUCAAACUUCCCUAGUGCCUUUCUGCUGAUAUAUCAGUGUUUCCUGGUGUCCUUGCCAGUGUGUUAAAUUACAUAUCAUGAGAGAGUGCUCCAUAUUGAUAAAGUAUCUCAUAUCCAACUCUAAGUUCUAUGCUCCUUUUUACAUCACCUUCAGAUCCAGUUUCAUUCAUGUUCUCCUGGCUCCCAUGGUACCUAUUAGACAGCUGCUACAAUUCCUUUACAUAUAGUCUCUUUCUUCCCUUAACUAGUUCAGCACUUGUCUCAUUGGAAUGUGCUGGUAAUUAACCCUUAUUAUUGGAAUAUUUGCCUGGAAGGGAAAAAGGAUAGUUCCUUAGUGUGUGGGGGUCUUAGACGGAAGCAUUGUCUUUUAAAGGACCUAAGUCAUUUGAAAUUUCUGUAUUAUCUCCAAGCAAUGCUUUCUUUAAAAUAAUACCACUGUCUUGUAUCAAAGGAAUUAGAAGAUGCUUCCACCAAAAAAGAGCAUUUGGGGGGAAAAUAGAACUUCAAGGUUUUCAGCUACGUCUAAUCAAUUAUCUUCAUUCCAAAUCUAAGGGGAAUAUUUCUUUCUUGUUAGUAUCUUGACAUUGGCUUACAAAACCUGCUGAGGCUGAGAAUCCAACUAUCUCUGAAGCUCCACUAGUUGUAUUAUUAACUUUUGAAUUUAGUCCUCUAGUGACUGCCCACCAGUGGCAGAUGAUUAGAGUCUCCUUAGAUUCUGCCAAGAAUCCUUCUGGCUUUCACAUUUUACCUUGGAAUGAUAACUAAUUAAUCACCUGAGCUCAUCAUUAUCGAUGCUUAAAUUAAAAUAAAAUGAUUCUCAAUAAAGUCUAUUUACUUUGUAGCCCUUAUACUUACUAUUUUCUAUAUGACAUUAAGUUCCAGAAGUAAUUACAUAGCCAGUGUGUCUUCUUCUACCAGUACUGCACUUGAGUUCUGAGUUCACUACUUGCAACAAUUUUAUCAACUGUGAAAGGUGAAGUCUACUCAUCCUCCAUUUACCACCAGCAAUGCAGCCCUCAUUGCUAGAUGGCCUGAACAUUUUGAUCCAGCUUUGGAAUAUUAUUCUACAGUUUGUUUUCUAGGACCCCUUCUAGUAACAACAGAAUCAUAUGAAGUUCCCUAGACAUAGUCUCUAAGAUGGAGAGUUUUAUGCAGAGAGGAUUUAUUGGGGAAUGCUCUUGGUAGAUGUUAUCUGUGAUGAACCAAAAAAAGCAGGAUUGAGCAGAAAGAGAAGUCAACCCAUAACACAGUUUCAAUAAAGCUUUAGAACUGGAAUGGCUCUUCAGUGUUUUUCUGACAUGAAAUAUAGUGUCUAGGCCUUUAUAUCAUUGCAUGAUCCAGUGACGGAGUAUGGUGUCUCCCUAGUAGGAGAAUACUUUUAGAAUAGAGUUCUCUGUGGCCAAGGGCAAUUUCAAGGGAGGAAGUCACCUCUGAGCUAUCAGUCUCAGACAUCCUCAGUAGCUGGGGUAUACAAGGUUUACCAGAGUGUCAAUUAUCUAUUAUAGCAUACACACGGAAAAAUUUACAAGUGUAUGUGUACACCUGUAUUUGAUAAAUUAUUAUAUAGAAAGCAUACACAUAUAGCCACUAUA
rnacentral:lncRNA from 10 species